UUCAACACAACGCAUGUCUAACAUCUGUUAAAUAAAAACUGAAACACAUGUCUAACAACUGUUAAAGAGAAAAGGAUAGAAAAUAAGUUACCUAUUAUCGACGCUGACAAGGAAGUAAGGAGUAGACACGAUCAUCCGUGACACCAUCGACAAGGUCUUGGUCCUCCCCGGUCUUGCCGCCGACACCGUUUGUCUCCAACUAGACGAUAUCCUUGCUAAGACAGCGUGUCAGGUUUCCAAAUUCGUGACCGUGGCUUUAGUCGACAUAGAUUCCGAGAAUGAUCAGGUUUACGUUAAGUAUUUCGAUAUCACUUUGAUUCCUUCGACUAUUUUCUUCUUCAAUGCUCAUCAUAUGAAGAUGGAUUCUGGGUUAAAUGCUUUUGGAUCCCAAGCUCACCGACAAGAACUCUGGUGGAGUCGUGUUCGCUUAAAUGCUUGUAAGGGAUUGUUAGAAGAUACCAAAGCACAAAAAUUGGCUUUUCAACAUUGGAUUGAAGCUAUUGAUGCACGUCAUCACUAUGGGCAUAGCUUGCAUAUUUACUUCGAGGAGCGGUGUAAAGCUAAUGCUGGUCAACCAUUUUUCUACUGGUUAGAUAUAGGGGAUGGCAAAGAUAUUAAUCCCAAAGAAUGCCCGAGAUUAAAGCUUCAAUCGCAAUGCAUUAAGUAUCUUGGACUUCAUUCAUUAUCAUUUUAUUUCUAUUGGUGAGAAGAACAUUGGAACAACAAUUAGCUAAGAGAUAUUGCAUUGAAAGCCAAUUUUGAAUUCAUAAACAAGUUUGGAGUUGAUAGGUGGUGUUUCCAUGGUAGGGACAUUGCUUCUAACAGUAAAACACUAGAGGUCAGGAAACUAAUGCAAACUUGGAUGAAGUGAUUGCCCUUACUAAAAAACUUCAGGUAACUUACUGAAUGUGUAUAAAGUGUUUGGUGGCUGCUAUCUUGCUUUAGUAAAGACUUAAGUACUAAAAUUUCUCUUUUUCUAUUUCAAUAAUUUUAUAGUUUCUUGAACAUCUCAACUUGGGUCUCUUUACACCUUAUUUACUUUUAGUUUGUUUAUUUUAACAGCCUAGCUUUAUUAAUCAAUCACAUAGGUAACAGGUACUGUGCUUGUUGUUACAAGAAAUAAGAAAUAGCACUUUUUGAGAAAUCUCAAAAGAGUUUAUACUAUGGAACAAACAUAUGUUCAUAUAUGUAUGUAUACAUAUAUGCAUAUACAUGAGGAUUUAAGGAAAUCUUAUAUUGGAUUGAUGGUUGGGCUUUUUUUAUUUGUGAAUAAUUGUUUGGAAUUGGGUGAUUGUGAUGUUUAGAUGGUCGACAAGAUCAAUAAAGUCCUUUGUAAUGGAGAAAUUGAAGGCAAGGAAGAUCAAGUAUCCAAAUAAAAUUGAAAUGCUUCUUAUGGGAAUUCUGGUGGAGGGUUAGUGUUUUAUUUGCCAUUUUAGCUCACUACUUAUUAUUAUAGCAUCAUAUAACACACUUCAAAAACUACUUUAGAAAAUUUUCUUAUGGAAUUCAAUGAAAACCCGUUUCUAUUGGGGAAUGGUAGUGAAAAAGUGUGCAGUGUUCAUCUUUAAUUUGUUUCGGAUGAUCAUAGUAUUCACUAUGAAACAAAAACUUUUAUAUAAAUAAGUAGGUGCUCUUAAUGCCACACAAGUAUGCAUGAGGUGUGAAAAUCGUCUGCUUAAGAAUGUUAACUUGAUGAUCUACUUAAAGCAGGGUAAACCCACCUCCUUACACUAUAAGAAAUUUUUUAUAUAUUGACGUUUGGUUAUACUAAGGGUCAAAUUGCAUCAGUAAAAAAAAUUUAUAUUGAUGAUUGUUUUUAAUACCAUUAGAAGAUACCAUACUUUUACCAACAUUUUAGACAACCGUCGGUGUAAAUAAACUUUUUUUGAUGGAAUAUAACUAUUGUCAGUAUAAGUAUGUUAUAUACAAACACUUAUCUAUACUAACGAUCAAAUUAUGUAAGUAAAAAGUAUCUAUACUGAUGAAUUUUUGUUACUAUCAGUAUAGAUAGUGCCUAUACAACACUUUGUAUAAUCGUCGGUAUA